rnacentral:rRNA from 1 species
UACGGGGGGUGCGAGCGUUGUCCGGAAUCACUGGGCGUAAAGGGCGCGUAGGUGGUUUGAUAAGGGUGUGGUGAAAGUCCGGGGCUCAACCCCGGAUCUGCCGUGUCGACUGUCAAACUCGAGGACUGUAGAGGCAGACGGAAUUCCGGGUGUAGCGGUGGAAUGCGUAGAGAUCCGGAAGAACACCAGUGGCGAAGGCGGCCCGCUGGGCAGUGGCUGACGCUGAAGCGCGACAGCGUGGGGAGCAAACAGG